UACAAAAUAAACGGCGUGCUAGCUUCACAAAUCCGCCGGGGAGAAUUAUGGCUCUCAUUAUAAAACUAAGUUGUCUUUGGCAGCCGCACAGCAAACACCAUGCAUCCGUCAUGAAAUGACUCGAUACCUUUGUAACAGGGCUUCUGAUGGAUCCACCAGGCCGACAGACUAGUUGAUCUGUUCUGGUCUGAAGAGGCGGCUGUAGGAAGUACUCCAUGAUAUCAGAGGCUGCCAUUACGUCGUCAGGAGUUGGGUGCUGCAGUCUGGUUGGUCAAUCUGAGACCAUGUGACCUGCAGUGAUCCAUCGCCCUCUGGAGUCGGGUGCCCAGUGCUGCAGUUUGGUGUCAGUCUGACCAUGUGACCUGCAGUGAACCGCCCUCCACCCUAUCCCUCGGGCUCUCAAUGCUUCAGUCUGUUUGGUCAAUCUGAGACCAUGUGACCUGCAGUGAUCCACCAUCCCUCGGCCCUCUGGUUCCAUAAACGGGAGGGGCUUCCUACCAUAAUGGCUGCCCAUCCUGUGGUUUCUCUGGAGUGUUUCAGAACCAGAAGGGUGCUGACCUACUUCCAACAUGUUGAAGGGGAGGUUACUGCCCACAGCUGGUGUUAUCCAGUAUAUGUGCUAUGUAUCAAACUAAGCAUUGUAUGUGGGCCAAAUCAUUAGCUACAUCUUGUAAUCAAUUGGGCAAGUUCAAGAGACUAGACUGUUAUAACCCUGGAUUGUACAUUUAAUGAUUCAACGGUAGCUGGGGGGGAGGUCUGAUAAAACACGGCUCUGGUUCUUGAUGAUAUAUUUUUACAGGCCCUAGUUUUAGCACACCUGUGCUGCAGUCCAAACACUUAAGAUGCACCCUGUCCCUUCAGCCCUCAUUAAGUGGACACUUCUGAUGACUAAUGCUGCCUGACGAGUACACACUUGCAGGGCAAGGAAGGAAUGGUUUUUAAAUGGACUGCCCUGGCCUGGAAAUCCAUUGCUCGUUCUUCCAGCGAUUAUCUUUUUAGCCACCGGGUAGCUUGUGGGUGCUUUUAUGUGCUACAGUCAAUUAUGAUUGCAUGUCUAAAUAUAUAAUUAUUAAUUUACACAAACUGUAUGUUAGCUAGCAGAUUAUUUAACUCCCGUUAGCUUGUCUAGCAGGAACUUCUGAAGAUAAAUGUAUUAAUACAAUUUCCAAAAGCUAAACAAAUAUUACUUUACGAGAUGUGCUGUCAUGUGCAUUAGUAGUACAAUUUAGUACUGAUUUGUUAGUUUUUACUUACACUUGUAAAUUGACAAAUAAAACGAGGGCUGCGGUCCUUACGUUGCAAACUUCUCUUGCUUGGCUAAUAAUUUGCGCCGCCCGCCAAGAUGGUGACAGGAUUCCCCCAAGGGCUUAAGUUGAGGGUUUUUGGCCUAGUCUUUUGUUUGAACUGCAGCCCUAUACUACUGUCCAGUUAUAUGGUUAAGUGCCACUAAGGACACGGGCAAAUUAGUUGGCCCAGAACAGGGCACCUGYCAUUUAAUGGGUACUUUAGGAUUUUGGCACAAAUUAGAGGAGUGUUUUUAUUUGUCGGCUGUAGUUUUAUUGUUUCUUUACAGUUUCUGUUUUCACCCUGCCUGUAAAUGGACRCUACAGUCAGCAGCAGUAUGGUCUCGUAUGAAGACCUUGGUUCUAUGUUCUGUUAAGGUAUUUAAUAAAGGUUUUUAUAAUGUGU